rnacentral:rRNA from 1 species
UACAGAGGUCUCAAGCGUUGUUCGGAUUUAUUGGGCGUAAAGCGCGUGUAGGCGGCUUUGCAAGUCGGGUGUGAAAGCCCUCAGCUCAACUGAGGAAGUGCGCCCGAAACUGCAGAGCUUGAGUGCCGGAGAGGGUGGCGGAAUUCCCCAAGUAGAGGUGAAAUUCGUAGAUAUGGGGAGGAACACCGGUGGCGAAGGCGGCCACCUGGACGGUAACUGACGCUGAGACGCGAAAGCCAGGGGAGCAAACGGG